rnacentral:tRNA from 1 species
GGGAACAUGACUCAGUGGUAGAGCUCUUGCCUUGCAUGCACGAGUCUCUGGGUUUAAUCCCCAGUACUACCA